rnacentral:misc_RNA from 1 species
GUAGGUGAACCUGCGGAAGGAUCAUUAUUGAAUUAUAAGGCUCGGAUUGUGCUGGCCUCUCGAGGCAUGUGCACGUCUCUGCCCGUUAAUCCCAACCCACCCCUGUGAACCGACCGUGUGAGGCGGCUCUGUAAUGGAGCCGUCCCAUGCUUUAUCAUAAACCCUGUAUGUCAUCAGAAUGUAAAUCUAUAUCCUCGCCUUAAAACCGCGUCGGUAAAAAAAAUUAAUACAACUUUCAACAACGGAUCUCUUGGCUCUG